UGCCAGCCGCCGCGGUACUACGGAGGGUGCAAGCGUUGUUCGGAAUUAUUGGGCGUGAAGCGCGUGUAGGCGGCUUGGUUAGUCGGGUGUGAAAGCCCUGAGCUUAACUCAGGAACUGCAUUCGAUACUGUAUCGCUAGAGUUUAUUAGAGGAUAGCGGAAUUCCAGGUGUAGCGGUGAAAUGCGUAGAUAUCUGGAGGAACACCAAUGGCGAAGGCAGCUAUCUGGGAUACAACUGACGCUGAGGUACGAAAGCGUGGGGAGCAAACAGGAUUAGAUA
rnacentral:rRNA from 1 species